GAACCAGGCCCUGUAGUGCUCAAGGAGGGUGGGAGAGUGAAACGAAAAGGAGUGAGAUGCUGCUUCUGUUCUCGAGGACUUCACAGUCAACUUGCGCCUGGAGUUGGUCUGGGGAAUAAAGAAUGGGAUGAAAUGGUGAGAGUCCAGAGGGGUUGAGCAAAGAACUCACUAUCACACAGCAAGGCACUAAUUUGAAAUGCCUGGGAGAAGUAGAAGCUGCAUUUGACUCUCAUAUUCUUAUUGGACCAGGAAGGCAGGAGGAGACACCAGUGUGCACCAGAGAAGGAGAAGUCAGAGAUGACAGUCCCUGCCUGAGGCCAUCUCUGGUCCACCAGACAACUCAUCACCAACUUCCCAACAGCCACUGCUCUAGGCCAGGUGUCCACAUGGGGAAUAGGUCCAGGCCCUCUAUGGCUCUCGCAGGAGUCAGGGAGGCAGAUAAAUAACAUAUCACAAAGACAGAAUAUAAGAAAUGCCUGGGAGGAGGCAUACUGAUGCGUGGAAAGUACUCAGCCAGAAGCCUGGCACUAGAAGGGCCCAGGGAUUGUUGGCAUGUAUGAGUCACAGUUCCAUUUCAGUGGAGUGAGCAGGGAGAGAAUCUCCUGGAAGUAGACUUGGAUCUGCUCUUGAAUCUGCCCCUGCGGAAAGAGGGCCGUUUGGACAGGCUGUGCCUGGAGAUUUCUGGCCUCAUAAAAUCCUCCUGGUCUCUUAGGAGAGCUGGUGACACUCUCCAGGUGAGUCCUUGUGUAAUUAUUAAGGACUCGCCUUUCUCAAGCUGGCGGGGAAAGGGGUUGCUGAGAAGGGAGAAAUCUGGAGCCUAAGUGACCUAAAUGACCAGAACAUAGUUAUUUAUGACUAACUAGGACUAUGGAUGGUGCUUUGGAAUUAUCAAAGAACUACAAACUUCCCUUCAUCUGUCCUACCAACAACUUUAAGAGAGUUGUUUUGUUUUUGCCAUUUGAAAGGUGAGGUACCUGAGGCUCAGAGAGGUAAAGUGAUUCCUUGCAGGUUGUACAGUAAACUCACAAGACUGGGCUUGAGCCCAAACCUUCUGAGUCAAAUUUUCACAUCCUUUCCAUUCUCCAUUGCACCUUGAUUUAGAGAGUCAGCAGUUCCCCAGACUCAGCUCUUUGAACCCACUGUGCCUGACUGCGAGCUGCCCACUCAAGCCCAAGGGGUGGGGGCAAUGGGGUGCAAACCCUCAGUGGGAAGGUAGCAGUUUCCAGGGCCUCACUGAACUCCUGGGCUGAUGGGGGAACAGGGAAGAAACCUCAAAUGCCUACCUGAUAAUUCUGGGCAGCUUCUUCGAUCAAGCUGACAUUAUGGGAUUUGUGGUCCUUGGAUUCACG
rnacentral:lncRNA from 10 species